AUUGAACGCUGGCGGCAGGCCUAACACAUGCAAGUCGAGCGGAUGAAGGGAGCUUGCUCCUGGAUUCAGCGGCGGACGGGUGAGUAAUGCCUAGGAAUCUGCCUGGUAGUGGGGGAUAACGUCCGGAAACGGGCGCUAAUACCGCAUACGUCCUGAGGGAGAAAGUGGGGGAUCUUCGGACCUCACGCUAUCAGAUGAGCCUAGGUCGGAUUAGCUAGUUGGUGGGGUAAAGGCCUACCAAGGCGACGAUCCGUAACUGGUCUGAGAGGAUGAUCAGUCACACUGGAACUAAGACACGGUCCAGACUCCUACGGGAGGCAGCAGUGGGGAAUAUUGGACAAUGGGCGAAAGCCUGAUCCAGCCAUGCCGCGUGUGUGAAGAAGGUCUUCGGAUUGUAAAGCACUUUAAGCUGGGAGGAAGGGCAGUAAGUUAAUACCUUGCUGUUUUGACGUUACCAACAGAAUAAGCACCGGCUAACUUCGUG
rnacentral:rRNA from 1 species